UACAGAGGGUGCAAGCGUUGUUCGGAAUUAUUGGGCGUAAAGGGCGCGUAGGCGGUGCCACAAGUCACCUGUGAAAUCCCCGGGCUCAACCUGGGAAUGGCAUUUGGGACUGCAAGGCUGGAGUGCGGCAGAGGAGACUGGAAUUCCUGGUGUAGCAGUGAAAUGCGUAGAUAUCAGGAGGAACACCGAUGGCGAAGGCAGGUCUCUGGGCUGACACUGACGCUCAUGCACGAAAGCGUGGGGAGCAAACAGG
rnacentral:rRNA from 1 species